CGUUGCCUCACGGUAAAAAUUCGCUGCUGUGUAGAGAUUGAUGUAUGCAUUAAAGGAAGGAUGGCUUUAGACAGUUUUGUUCAGAUAUACCCAGAGGACAGAGGAUGGAGAAAGAUCGUAGACAAAUGUUUUUUGCAUGGUUUUAAGAAGUUAAAUGUCUAUUGUGGGUUUUUUUGUCAAACCGUUUGUUGCCCUUGCGGAGUUCUUUGUAAGCAGAAUGGUAGGUGAAACUCUUUUAAUGUCUGUGAGAAGACAGUUUGAAAUAAUGUACGAAGAGUAAAAUUUUGUGCUACGUGGGGCACUUAUUAGGCACCUUGAGCGAAAGAUGGAAUCUAUGACAAGUACGUUUACCUUUUACAUUCAAUUACAAAGUACACAUAUGAAUUCUAUUGUCAACUAAAAAAAUUACAAUUACCAAUAGCGACGUAGUGACGAUGUAAUACAAUAAUCAAACUGUUGUAAUGCUAGUAAAGCAGCGAUUGAAGUUACAUCUGUUCCUUUUAAUCGUAACUUCCUGUCAGAAAUACAUUAUCAAAUUUCAUUAAGAAUUAUGAAGAUAAAAUUUGACACUACCAUUAGUGACUAUAUAGUACAAUAACCAGGUGUGUCAUAAUGGUAUUAAGGAACAUAAUUAAAGCUACAUCCGUUCCUUUUAAUCGUAACACCCGCCCAGAAACAUAAUAUUUCAAGUGAAAUCGUAGCUGAAUUCCACUCCAUUUUCAUCUUUUGCUCUCAUUUUCACGACAGACAUAACAAUGACUCGGCUUCUGUGAGUCCCACUAGGACAGCACACGGCUGGUGCGCGGUGCGAGUGCGAAUGUCAGAGUUGUAAAUCCGUUUCCCGUCGAUCUCGACGCCAGGGCCGAGGUCAACCAGCAGCAGGACACAGUCGACUCGAUGACUCUCUCCUUUCUGUUUUUAUUCACUCGCUGGGAUCCUUGCCAGCGGAUUCUAUGUCUCGAAGAAGAUCACAGCUAUCGCGGCAAAAUAGCCUCGUUACUAACCGCGAUCCUCUUGCGUGGCUAUUCAAUGACUCUGCUAAAUACCUCGAUUAUUACACUGUGUUUCGUAUGUUCAUUUAUGUUCUCAAAAGUGGUGCGAAAAUUAUAUCAUGAAAUACCUUAUCAAUGAAUGUAUUGCAAGCAUGUGCAUACAUAUCGCUUCCUCGAAUUAAUGGGUUGACACGACUCAAGAAAUACAAAUUUUUAAUUUUUAAUCGAGAGACGGUUGCGAAUCCAAAAUACAAACAGUCGUGUACUUACAAUUGCAAAGUACUACUCAAUGUAGUAAUUACAGUAAGUAAAUGACAAUCACAGCAUGGCCAAGUAGCGCUUUUUAAAAAUGCUCUAUCUCCUUUUAUUUUAAAGGCUACCGAAAUGAAACUUCGAAGACACGUAAUUUAUUUCGAGACUACAUAGACGUGUCUCGAAACUAAGAAAACGGGAAUUUAAAAGUGACAGAAAUAAAUGGAGGAGACGAUGACUCUGAACGAUUGAGUCAGUUUUAAAUUCCACCAUGAAUAAUCGGUCACGCAGCGUAUGCAUCAAAUGCUAGGAGCAUUUAACUUCGUCCGCAUUUCAGUGGAACAGGGAAUUUCUCCGAAUACACGAGACAUUGACCUUGCGUUUACAGUCAUCGUGGAUCUGGGCUGCGCUCAAGCAUGCUUUCUCCACAAGAAUUUCAUGUCCGCCGACGAUGCUGACUGGUAGACAACAUUGAGAGUACAAGCUGACGUCACGUGCAGCGUUGCGCGUAGCGUUACGUAAAAAAACGUGGCUGACGAAUCAGAAACGCAUCGUUCUAUUACUGUUAAGGCCGUGUGAUGAAUCGGCUACGCGGUAAAGUAUAUAAUGGACUUAGCGUGGGUUCAUUACGAUGAAAAAUAACUGGCAUUGGGAGUUAUUUUACAACUGUAAUCCGAUACAAAGAUAAUGUAUCCUCGAAGAUAUGCUUCGAGUGUGAAAUAAUUGUAACGAAACGAGUCGAGUCGUAGUAAUUUGUGAAAUAAUUCGCUUCCUUUUUCAAAUAUAUUCCCGAUAAAAAUACACAGGUUCACAAAAGUGUUCAAACACUUAUGGAUACCUUUUAUGAGUAUAUUAUAUGUAUUGUAUGAAACAUUUUACAAUUUCAUUAG